GGGCCGAUGAUGCUAAACAUGCUCCUACGGUCUAGACCUAUGGGGAGGUUUUCCUAAGCAUAUUUCCCAAGCUGAGGCCC
rfam:Oryza brachyantha chromosome 10, whole genome shotgun sequence.